UACAGAGGUCCCAAGCGUUGUUCGGAUUCACUGGGCGUAAAGGGUGCGUAGGCGGUCGGGUAAGUCUGAUGUGAAAUCUCACAGCUUAACUGUGAAACUGCAUUGGAUACUAUCCGGCUCGAGGAAUGGAGGGGAGACUGGAAUACUUGGUGUAGCAGUGAAAUGCGUAGAUAUCAAGUGGAACACCAGUGGCGAAGGCGGCUCUCUGGGACGGUACUGACGCUGAGACGCGAAAGCGUGGGGAGCGAGCAGG
rnacentral:rRNA from 1 species